rnacentral:rRNA from 1 species
UGGGGGAAGUUUUCCGUCAAUGGGCGAAAGCCUGACGGAGCAAUGCCGCGUGGAGGUGGAAGGCCUACGGGUCGUCAACUUCUUUUCUCGGAGAAGAAACAAUGACGGUAUCUGAGGAAUAAGCAUCGGCUAACUCUGUGUCAG